AGAAACUUAGGAUUAAAACCUAAACCGGAAGCCUUCAAAGCCUCAAAUAAGAGAUAGACCUCUUAGUUUCUG
rnacentral:tRNA from 1 species